UGUGAAUUUUAGCCAUUGUGUGCGAUCACAACAUGGAAGGACAUGUGUGUGCAUGGAUUCUAAGUAUGUUGGCUCAAGAAAGGGAAACAUAGAGUUGGACAAGAGUUUACUCAUACAGAAAUAUCAUUCCUCCUUCCAGGUCCAUAGGUCUUGAGAAAAGAAUCAUCUACAUGGCACAGUAGGCCUCUGCAGGAUGUGUCUUGGAAUCUUGGAGUGACUGCACACUAAAUGACGUGAGAAGGCUAGAACUGCCACAGCAGGUGAUAGAAGAGGAACUGAUAGGCUCGGAGAAGUGGACAUGCUUAGGAUGGCUAGGAAAGUCCUGACUGGAGACACACUGUGGAAGAGCCUGGAAGGAACACUGAUCUCACAAGCGGCAAGAGAUGUCCGGGGGAACUUUGGUCUUCACCACUGCCUUUGGAUGUUCCAACAACCCAAGGCUUCACCCUUUUCACUGCCCCUGCCCCCCAUCGACCAGACCUGGUGGAGCUAAGCUAAAAGGGAAUGUUCUGGAGGAGAAAGGUGUGGAUCCCAGGCAGCAGAGACACAAAGGACAGCAGGGAGACCAGUGCCUUUCCAUUUGGAUUGUGACUACACACAGGAAGUGGCCAGAAUGA
rnacentral:lncRNA from 1 species